GCGAGACGGGUANCCGGCCUGAGAGGGCGACCGGCCACACUGGGACUGAGACACGGCCCAGACUCCUACGGGAGGCAGCAGUGGGGAAUAUUGCACAAUGGGCGCAAGCCUGAUGCAGCGACGCCGCGUGAGGGAUGACGGCCUUCGGGUUGUAAACCUCUUUCAGCAGGGAAGAAGCGCGAGUGACGGUACCUGCAGAAGAAGCACCGGCUAACUACGUGCCAGCAGCCGCGGUAAUACGUAGGGUGCGAGCGUUGUCCGGAAUUAUUGGGCGUAAAGAGCUCGUAGGCGGCCUGUCGCGUCGGAUGUGAAAGCCCGGGGCUUAACCCCGGGUCUGCAUUCGAUACGGGCAGGCUAGAGUUCGGUAGGGGAGAUCGGAAUUCCUGGUGUAGCGGUGAAAUGCGCAGAUAUCAGGAGGAACACCGGUGGCGAAGGCGGAUCUCUGGGCCGAUACUGACGCUGAGGAGCGAAAGCGUGGGGAGCGAACAGGAUUAGAUACCCUGGUAGUCCACGCCGUAAACGUUGGGCACUAGGUGUGGGCGGCAUUCCACGUCGUCCGUGCCGCAGCUAACGCAUUAAGUGCCCCGCCUGGGGAGUACGGA
rnacentral:rRNA from 1 species